GCUGCGAUAGUCUAGUGAUCAUGAUCGCGGGACUCGAGUUCCCAGAGUCAUGGGUUCGAACCGUGAUAUCACUAAAGACCCACCUUGUAGCG